rnacentral:ncRNA from 1 species
UUAGCUAUUUUAGAUAGGUUUGUAUUCAUUGAAGUGGAUACAAACGACCUAAGUGUUUUUUGUAUCUAUGAUGGCUAGAGAAUUUUGACGUACCGCCGGCCGCAUAGAGAAAUCUAAGUGGCUGAAGCAUAAUAUUUUUUGCAUUCGUAUCACCCACUUAGAGUUUCUAUACUUCUA